UCUCCGUUGGUGAACCAGCGGAGGGAUCAUUAUCGAGUUUAUAACUCCCAAACCCUAUGUGAACUUACCACUUGUUGCUUCGGCGCGCGCUUCGGCGCCGCCGAGGACACUUAAACUCUUUGUUUUUAUAAGCAUUUCUGAGUGGCCGAAAGGCAAAAUACAAAUGAAUCAACACUUUCAACAACGGAUCUCUUGGUUCUG
rnacentral:misc_RNA from 1 species